GGCCUGAGGAAAUUCCUGCUAAUUAAAAGUUAAUUAUUUGUUUAAUUAAGCACUAAAAUGUGAUUUAGAAGAUUAAAUGUAUUUAUGCUGAGCUGCGGUUAUGAUCAUAGAACAACAGGACCCGCAGGUAUCCGUCCCGGAUUCCAAAGGCCUGUACCAGGAACGCGCGCAGACGCACCGUGCGGCGGCUCCGGCGACGCAGCUGCGAAGACGGGUCUAGCUACGCUCCCCAGAGAGAGCAGCCAAAUUCAAUCAGACAGUUCAAGAUGAUGUGAUGAGAGCCCUCCGGAGAGAGAGAGAGGAACAACAGAGUAGCAGGGCAUUCUGAUGGUUGUUUACCUGCCGAGGUUAAGGAAUGAAGUCGAGACUGCCGUGACACCGAUGCUGCUCCUGCCGGAUGUGACGGAGCCUGGCAUGUUAGCACCAAGAAUGACAAGAACUCACUACGGACUUUAUUGAAGACUAGACUGAAUAACAACUCUAUUAUUAUUAUUUAUUUAUUUAUUUAUUAUUGCUAGUUAUAACUUUUAGUUCAUUGAAUUCUGUGUUUGUAUGAUUUGUGUAAAUCCUAUUUAUUUAAAGUAUCCUCCAGGCCACCCAAGAAGGAUGGGCCCUGCUGAAUCUGGUUCCUCUCAAGGUUUCUUCCUGUAAUUUUAAGGGAGUUUUAACUUGCCACAGUCGCCCUCGGCUUGCUCAGCAAGGGUUUUUAUAUCUGUUGGAACUGGAUUUUUUAAAGUUGCUUUGAGACAAUAUCUGUUGUAAAAAGCGCUAUAUAAAUAAAGUUUACUUGACUGGCAGGUGUCCCAUUAAA